AGUGAACGCUGGCGGUAGGCCUAACACAUGCAAGUCGAACGGCAGCACAGUAAGAGCUUGCUCUUACGGGUGGCGAGUGGCGGACGGGUGAGGAAUACAUCGGAAUCUACUUUUUCGUGGGGGAUAACGUAGGGAAACUUACGCUAAUACCGCAUACGACCUACGGGUGAAAGCAGGGGAUCUUCGGACCUUGCGCGAUUGAAUGAGCCGAUGUCGGAUUAGCUAGUUGGCGGGGUAAAGGCCCACCGAGGCGACGAUCCGUAGCUGGUCUGAGAGGAUGAUCAGCCACACUGGAACUGAGACACGGUCCAGACUCCUACGGGAGGCAGCAGUGGGGAAUAUUGGACAAUGGGCGCAAGCCUGAUCCAGCCAUACCGCGUGGGUGAAGAAGGCCUUCGGGUUGUAAAGCCCUUUUGUUGGGAAAGAAAAGCAGCAGGUUAACACCCCGCUGUUCUGACGGUACCCAAAGAAUAAGCACCGGCUAACUUCGUG
rnacentral:rRNA from 1 species